GGAACAUAUUUUUGAAUGACCAGAAUAAGAAAAGAAAUAUAUAUCAUAGAAUUUGAUUAUGCCUUUCAUAUUAUUACAGAGAAAUGAUAUAACAAGCACUGCUUAAUACAGAAGAAAUUCACUCUAAAUCUUAAACUUUAUCCUUAUUGUAAUACAAAAAAAAUAUGGAAUCAAUUCGAAAACAAUACAUGGAUGAAAUUUAUUGGUAUAAUUUAAACGGAUUCAAUUUAGUAGUGUUUUGGAGGUGGUGGGGAAGAAUAAUAGUAAGGAGGUGGCGGUGAUGGAGAAGGUGGAGGUGGAGAGUUAUAAUAAUAUGGAGGAGGUGGAGACUUCUUUGGUGGAGGAGGUGAUGUGUAAUGGUAUGGAGGUGGUGGUGAAAGAGAAGUGGGAGGUGGAGAGUUAUAGUAGUAUGGGGGAGGUGGAGACUUUUUUGGAGGAGGUGGUGACGAGUAGUGGUAUGGAGGAGGUGGUGACUUUUUUGGUGGAGGUGGAGAGCUGUAGUAGUAGGGAGGAGGUGGAGAUUUCUUUGGUGGAGGUGGUGAUGAAUAGUAGUAUGGAGGAGGCGGAGACUUAUUUGGUGGAGGUGGAGAGCUAUAGUAAUAGGGAGGAGGUGGAGACUUCUUUGGUGGAGGUGGUGAUGUGUAAUGGUAUGGCGGAGGUGGAGACUUCUUUGGUGGAGGUGGAGAGCUGUAGUAGUAGGGAGGAGGUGGAGACUUCUUUGGUGGAGGUGGUGAUGAGUAGUAGUAUGGAGGAGGUGGAGACUUCUUUGGUGGAGGUGGAGAGCUAUAGUAGUAGGGAGGUG
rnacentral:lncRNA from 1 species